CCUACGGGAGGCAGCAGUGAGGAAUAUUGGACAAUGGGCGCAAGCCUGAUCCAGCCAUGCCGCGUGCAGGAAGAAGGUCCUAUGGAUUGUAAACUGCUUUUAUACAGGAAGAAACACCUCUACGUGUAGAGACUUGACGGUACUGUAUGAAUAAGGACCGGCUAACUCCGUGCCAGCAGCCGCGGUAAUACGGAGGGUCCAAGCGUUAUCCGGAAUCAUUGGGUUUAAAGGGUCCGUAGGCGGUUUAAUAAGUCAGUGGUGAAAGCCCAUCGCUCAACGAUGGAACGGCCAUUGAUACUGUUAAACUUGAAUUAUUAGGAAGUAACUAGAAUAUGUAGUGUAGCGGUGAAAUGCUUAGAGAUUACAUGGAAUACCAAUUGCGAAGGCAGGUUACUACUAAUAUAUUGACGCUGAUGGACGAAAGCGUGGGGAGCGAACAGGAU
rnacentral:rRNA from 1 species